AUUAGUACGAUAAUAAAUAAAAAAUUACUUGGAUAAAGUAAGAUAAUGAGGGAAGAAAAGAGAAGGGAAGUUUAUGAACUAUGGAGAUCAACUACCAAAUUACAUUAUAAAUUAAAAAAAAUAUUACAAACAUAUGUUCUCAGCAACUACAUCAGCACAUUACAAUUGGUAUAUCAAUGUUAAACAAUUCACCUGAAAAGAACUACCAAAUAAUUUAACAUAUCAAUGGCAAUACAAAAUCCAGAUGUUGACAGAAGAUCGUAUUUGAACGUAAAUAAAAUAAAAAAUUCUACAAUUAAUGAUUUCAUUAGAAUUCUAUAAGUAAUUAUAAAAAUAAUGAAGGCCAAAAUAAUUAUAUUUGAUACUGUAGUAUUUGGCGCUUCGUUUUUUGUGUCGUAUAAAUUAAUGUCCGCAUUCAUAGAGAGAUAUCGGGGAAAACGGAUUGCUGAAAAGAAUUCUGGGAAAUAGCUUAAGAUUAUUAUAUUCUACGUUUCGGGGAAAGUGUUUAACGGCUGAGGCGGCGGUGGAAUGUGGUAGAAGUAUGGUUGAGAAUACAUAAUAUCUUCAAUUCCGGGUACAAUUGGCGUUGACCGCGCCGGCACCAUAGAUCGAACAGUCCCGCUACAUGGAGCGCGACGUAUCGACAUAGUUAUGUUUGAAAAGGGGAGAAAAACCUGCGCUCACGCAUAGCACGCGCCGAUACACUCCGGUGACUUUGAAAAGUUGUCAAUUUAAUGUUUUGUGGUUGUUUACACUGGUUUUGUUGAAGUACUUAGCUGUGAAUUAAACGAGUAUAUCCAUACUGUUGACAUA